AUUUCCUGUAAGUAUUCUCCCAUCAGGUAAAAAAAUCUGUUCUAAUCAGCUUAAUAUCUAUUAAGUCCUACAUCACAGGACUAGGAUAUUAAACUCAUUGUUGGCUCAUGAGGGAGUGCUAAGAGCAUGCUCUACCUCGGUCACAGAAUGCUUCUUUACUUUCGGAAUCUCUUAAACUAACCAAA